GGCGGUAAUGCACCGUACGUUAGUUUGCCAACCGCUAAUAAAACUAAAAAAAAGAAAAAGACUUCUUAUUAUCUCACUUCCUUCGCAUUGCCAAUAUUCUUUACAAACCGUGCUUUUCGGAUGGAUUCCCCGUGCUGCUAGCCUGUUAUGCUACAUAGUGCCGCUUCUUGUUGUGUUCGUCUUUCCAGUCACUAUCAAUGGACGACUUCGUCUAGGGUUGUCUAACAUUAUUUACCGUUACUUGAGAGCAAUGGCGACCCAGAGAGCACUUCCUCAGAGUAAAGAAACUCUUCUUCAGAGCUACAACCAGAGACUUAAAGAUGACAUCAGGUCCAUCCAGGACAACUUCACCGAAAUUAUCAAAACGGCAAAGAUAGAGGAUGAGACGCAGGUUUCUCGAGCAACUCAAUCCGAGCAGGACCAUUAUGAGAUGCAUGUACGAGCAGCUCACAUCGUGCGUGCUGGCGAGUCCUUGAUGAAACUGGUGUCGGACCUAAAGCAGUUUCUGAUCCUGAAUGACUUCCCUUCGGUGAACGACGCCAUCAGCCUCCAGAACCAGCAGCUGCGCUUGGUGCAAGAGGAGUGCGACAAGAAGCUGACCUCGCUACGGGACGAGAUCGCCAUCGACCUGUACGAACUCGAAGAAGAAUAUUACUCCUCCAGGUACAAGUAGGCUCAUACUCGCCACACACCCCCCCCAUCCCGCCGCUGCCACCAUCGUCAUCAUCAUCCAUCUGUUGCUACCAAAGUGGAGCUUUCCAAAGAGUGAACAGACUACCAGAAGGAUAUUUUCAGCUCUGAAAAUAUGAGAGCAAAGCAAGUACUGUACGUCUCAACAUUUGGCGGAAAAGGUCAUGUUUUAAAUACAUUAUUAUCAUUAAACUAGACGGUAAAAGUAUGUUUAUUUAUGGACAAAUGUGUCGUUGAUCGGAAAAUGCAGAGUCCCCUGGAUCACUAAACAUCAUUUGUUUAAGGCAAUUACUGCUCUUAAAGGAACACUGCACUUUUAAAAAAAUUCUGCCCACAAUCCUUAUGUGGGACAAGAACACACGUCUUUCUCUUUUUUGUGUAUUCUAAAUUGUAAAAUACGGCUAACACUAGACGGCUAACAAUGUAGCUAAUGGGGGAGUCUAUAAAGCCCUUUCAAAAAAACGCCAACAAAAGAGCAUUUACUGUUACCUGCAUUAUUAUAAGAGCUUACGGCAAUUAACUACUUUUAGCAGCGCCUUGAUCAUGAGAGGUAACUAGCUGAUUCACCACCUCUUAGUUGGUCAAAUUUAAUUCUAGAUUGUAAAUCAGGGGUCCCCAAACUUUUUGACUCGGGGGGCCGCAUUGGGUUAAAAAAAAUCAUAUAUAUAUAUACAUAUAUACACAUAUACAUAUAUAUUCCGAGCACAAUGAUUUCACAUUAUCGAUGGGAGAAUGCAUUUUUAGACAAUAUGAUUUGCUUAAAAAGCACCGAGAGUAACAAGUGGUAGAAAAUGGAUUAAAAAAAAUAAUCAUUUAAAAAAAUAUAUAUAUAUAAUUUAUUUAUUUUUAACUUGGGACUUCCCGGCCUGCGGGCCGUAGUUUGGGGACCCCUGUUCUAAAUCAUGCCUCUCACUUGUAUUGUAGAAGGUUGUGGCCAUAAACCGAGAAGUUGGGAAACUUUGAAAUUCAAUUUUGUCCAGAAGACAUAAGGAAGAUGCAAUAAUAUGCUUGUUUUCUCCCACUUUUUUUUUUUUUUUUUUUACAAUAAGAGAGAAUUAUGAUGAAUUCAUCAUCUGAACGGAGAAUUCAAGUCUUGUGCUGAAAGACUUAAACAUCCCAUCAGUCGGCAUUUUAGUGAGAGCGGCCAUUGUUCAGUAAGUGAUAGUUUUAUUAUGUUCGUAAUUUGUAUUUCUUGUUUAGCACUUAGCAAUCAGUGUUACCUGAUACUUAGUGUUUCACUAAAGCUAGAACUGCUUAUCACACAGCUUAUAAAACAUAUAGCUCAUCAUCCUUAUUAUUCAGGCUUGAAAUAUAAGGUUCUGGAUCAUCAUUUGUUCCAAAAUAGUCUUUAAUGGCUCUCAUGAAGUCUGCCAUGGUUGCUUGUAUUUGUUAUUGUUAAAGGAAUUGGCGAACGUUGUGAUGCGUCUGUAAAAUCAAUGUGUCGCCAAAAUGCUUACAAUGACCAAAAUACAUAAAUAUUACAUGUUAUUAUGAAAGUGCAGUUCCCCUUUAAAUGAAAUGUAUACUACAACAUAAAAUGCACACAAUGACCAUUUUAUUUGGUACACAGUGGGGCAUCCUGUAUCGAUCCGUCGUGGUGAAGAAGGAGCUGAGCCGGAAGGCAAAGCUCUCAAUUUACCGGUCGAUCUACGUUCCCAUCCUCACCUAUGGUCAUGAGCUUUGGGUUAUGACCGAAAAGACAAGCUCACGGGUAAAGGCGGAGGAAAUUAGUUUCCUCCGUCGGGUGGCGGGGCUCUCCCUUAGAGAUAGGGUGAGAAGCUCUGUCAUCCGGGAGGAGCUCAAAGUAAAGCCGCUGCUCCUCCACAUCGAGAGGAGCCAGAUGAGGUGGUUCUGGCAUCUGGUCAGGAUGCCACCCGGACGCCUCCCUAGGGAGGUGUUUAGGGCACGUCCGACGGGUAGGAGGCCACAGGAAAGACACAGGAGACGUUGUGAAGAUUUUGUCUCCCGGCUGGCCUAGGAACGCCUUGGGAUCCCCCGUGAGGAGCUGGACCAAGUGGCUGGGGAGAGGGAAGUAUGGCCUUCCCUGCUUAGGCUGCUGCCCUCGCGACCUGACCUCGGAUAAGCGGAAUAAGAUGGAUGGGUCAUUUUUAGUUAGAAACCCCUUUUGCCUCUGAUAUAUUUGUCCUUUGGAGCACAUCACAUCUGUUGAAUGGCGACUGUAGUAAACUAUUUGAGGGCUGGAAACUCAAAACGGUUCAAUGACCAUCUUCACUAUGUCACAUUUUGUGUUGAACAAUCCAGAGCGUCGUCAGCUUCCCCACAACUCUGAACAGGGUUCUCGAUGGAUCCACACUUUUAUCUUGUUGAAUUCUCACCCUUUCAUGUGAAUGUGCAAAGGAUCAAGGAACUUGUCAUAUCAGCACACCUGAUAGCCUGAUGGCACAAAAUGUAGGUCUUAGAUUUAGCCCAUGGUUACCACAAGAAUGAUAGUUUAGCCCAUGAUUACCACAAGAAUGAUAGUAUGUAAAUAUUUUUUGAAUAUACAUGGAUAUAAAUAGAGUAAGUUAUAAAUAUCAUCGACUAAAAGUAAUAGACUGACUCAAAAUGGUGAGACCAGGCAUCAGUUUUCCUGUCUUAUAUUGUACAAAUUAUAGCUUCAAUUUAAGAGUGUUGUUUUUUGUGGUUGUAGUCUCCGUCUUUAGGGCUCCUUGUGUUGUGUGGAAGUGUGCAUUUAGGGUUGUGAUCCACCUCCACAAGCCCGGGUAGUGUGACUAAAGGCGGACUACAUUUUCGACUGUGUAUUUAUUAUUAAUUUGAAAAUCGUAUUUAUUAGGGAAAACCUGCCAGCCAAUUGCAAUUUCAUGCUUCCUUUUGAAAUCCAUAAAGGGGACCUAUGGUAUACUAAUCUACAUUUAAAUCACUUCCCCGUGGGUUAGACAAUAUGUAAUGGAUAUUCUUUGGUGUAAAGUAUGCGUGAAUUUUGCUCCUUCGUCACAAAUUUUAACCUACUUUCUACGUAAGUCUGCAAGAUGUUUGUGGAGGCGCUCCUAGAUUACAAACCUAACCAUGCCCCACUCUUUCCAAAGGUAUCGUAAUAUAUCUUUAGAAAAUGGAGUUUAAAUAUAUAUCUUAAAGUCAUCAUUACUAUUUUUUUCCAGACACUGUUGAAAAUUAGCUUCAUAAACAGCAUAUAGAUUCAGUCGGUUACAACAUUAGCUACACCUGCACACACGCUGAUCAAUUCAGAACUUCAUAAGAAGUUGUUUUAACAUUAUCUCAGAUUAGAGGAAAAAAUUAUUGUAGCCCACAUUUUUUGUAUUUCCUCAUUGCCUGAAGCAGAAGAGGACGAGCUCCUCCCCCUCUGGCUGAGAGAUUAAUGUCCAAAUAAGUACAUCCACCUCGCUGUGACGUCACAACGUUGCCAGACUGUAAAACCCCGCAAACAGAGGCAUCCAAAACUGCGUGCAAGCUCACGCCAAAAAGCAUGAACCUUAUGAUUUGACGUUUUGGCAUUUUUUUACACAACUAUCCAACACUGUAACAAGAUAUAUAAGUCAGAAAUGGCUAACUUCAUCGUAAGUGCCCUUUAAACACAAGAGUGAGACAGUUUUGUUAAACAUUGUGUUCCCUUACUGUGCCAAAAAUGAACAGCACCAUUUGGCCUUAAUGCCAGGGUACAGGUCAUCCGGAAACUGCCCAAAGAUACUGUAAGUGUGCCAAGCUUCAAAAAGACAUAAGGCUGUAAUUUAUGCCAAAGGUGCAUCAACAAAGUAUAGAGCAAAGGCUGUGAAUACAUGUACAUGUGAUUUAUUUAUACUUAAUACAUUUGCAAAAAAAAACUUUUCACAUUGUUAUUAUGGGGUAUUGUGUGUAGAAAUUUGAGGGCAAAAAUUAAUUUAUUCCAUUUUGGAAUAAGGCUGUCACAUAACAAAAUGUGUGUUGUGAAAACUUUCCGGAUGCACUGUAUGUACAGUACAGGCCAAAAGUUUGGACACACCUUCUCAUUCACAACACAACUGAUGGUCCCAACCCCAUUGAUAAAGCCAGAAAUUCCACUAAUCAACCCAUAAGGCACACCUGUGAAGUGAAAACCAUUUCAGGUGACUACCUCUUGAAGCCCAUCGAGAGAAUGCCAAGAGUGUGCAAAGCAGUAAUCAGACUAAAGGGUGGCUAUUUUGAAGAAACUAGAAUAUAAAACAUGUUUUAGUUUUGAUGCCUUCAGUGACAAUCUACAAUGUAAAUAGUCAUAAAAAAUAAAGAAAACUUAUUGAAUGAAAAGGUGUGUCCAAAAUUUUGGCCUGUACUGUACGUUUGAACCAUGAGAAUGCAGUACCGUUACAUCCCUAUUAAAUGAAACCAUAAAAGUCCCUUUAAUCGCUUGUCUUUACCAACGUGGUCUUCUGUUUAAACUUCAAUAGAUCAUGUAGAUCAGGUGUACUUCUCAAUGCAGGGUGAAGUGGUAUUGUGAGUACAUAUUAAACCCAGCAGAGGUUCAACAUGUGUGCCUAAUUAAGUGGCCAUUGUAUAUCAGAUUUUUUAAUUAUUUCUCUGAAUAAUGCAUCAAAUGAGUGAGAUUUUGAGGGACUGUUUCAGUUUGUUGAUUUGAGGUCAAAUCUGAAGUGGUGAGUAGAUUUUUAGUAAUGCGGUUUUAGCUAAACAAUGACUUUUAUGCUUGUGACUCAGGUGCUCAAAAAUAAACAUUAAAACUUUCACAUGGUUGAAGACGUGUGCCAAUGUUUCCAACAAAUCAAUGAUUAAAGAAGUUAACCUCAGGGGAAACACUCAGUUUGUGUUCUUCUAUGAGAAAGCAUUGAUGUGUGUUGGGGUGCCGGGUGUCACAUGCUGCAUUUGCUCUGCUUUCCCUUCCAUCAUCAACUAAUCAUCUUAAAGCGUUGAUCGCCAUUGACUUUAAGUUCAUCAGCAGCUGUCGUCUUCCAGUUUCUGGUGCUUUGUUGCUUAACUCUCCACGCUUGUCUCUGACUGACUGAUCGAGCUCUCGUAGGCGAAUGAUUGUGCUCAUUCUGACUCGCCGCUUUUGUCUGCUCCUCUUCUGCUACGCUCUACCUCUGCUGCGCUGAUUCUUUGCCUGCCGCUGGCGCUGCG